UACAGAGGGUGCAAGCGUUGUUCGGAAUUAUUGGGCGUAAAGCGCGUGUAGGCGGCAAGGCAUGUCGGGUGUGAAAGCCCUCGGCUUAACCGAGGAAGUGCGCCCGAAACUACUUUGCUUGAGUACCAGAGAGGGCGGCGGAACUCCCGGUGUAGAGGUGAAAUUCGUAGAUAUCGGGAAGAACACCAGUGGCGAAGGCGGCCGCCUGGAUGGAUACUGACGCUGAGACGCGAAAGCGUGGGGAGCAAACAGG
rnacentral:rRNA from 1 species